CGACUCUUGAAAAGUGUCAGGAAAUCAGAGGUCCCACAGCCUGAUAAAGGGUGGAGCAAGCACAGCGUGCGAAUACUUUAUGAAUCAGAGUCGUUUUACAACAUUGUUGCCAACUGGAAAAAGUCAUGCUACACAUCAGAUCUUAACUCAGAAACUGAGUUAAGAAACUCCAGCACAGAAACUCUGGGAAAGAGAGUCAGGAAAAAGAAAAUAUACUCUUCCUCUGAACAAGAAGAAGAAGAAGAACCACAACCUGUCAAAGUAAAAAAAACUUGCAAAUGCACCAAGGCCC